GAUGAACGCUGGCGGCGUGCUUAACACAUGCAAGUCGAACGGGAUCCAAGGAGCGUUUUUCGUUUUUUGGUGAGAGUGGCGAACGGGUGAGUAACACGUGAGUAACCUGUCCUUUUCUUUGGGAUAAGCUCCUGAAAGGGUGUUUAAUACCUUAUGUUCUGUCUGCCUCGCAUGGGGUGGGUGGGAAAGAUUUUUUCGGUGAAGGGUGGGCUCGCGGUCUAUCAGCUUGUUGGUGGGGUGAUGGCUUACCAAGGCUUUGACGGGUAGCCGGCCUGAGAGGGUGGGGGGGGAAAUUGGGAGUGAGAUACGGCCGAGAGUCCUACGGGAGGCAGCAGUGGGGAAUAUUGCAGAAGGGUAGGACGCCUGAGUGAGUAAGGAUGCGUGCGGGAGGAGGGCCUUCGGGGUGGAAACCGAUUUCGCCUGGGACGAAGCGUGAGUGACGGUAAUGGGUAAAGAAGCACCGGCUAACUACGUG
rnacentral:rRNA from 1 species